rnacentral:tRNA from 1 species
GCCAUGGCUCAGUAGGUAGAGCGUCGCCUUGGUAAGGCGGAGGUCGGGGGUUCAAGUCCCCUUGGC